rnacentral:rRNA from 1 species
UCAAGUAAUUAAGUGCAUGUGGUGGAUGCCUUGGCAGUCAGAGGCGAUGAAAGACGUGAUAGCCUGCGAAAAGCUCCGGGGAGGCGGCAAAUAUCCUUUGAUCCGGAGAUGUCUGAAUGGGGGAACCCACCUACUUUAAGGUAGGUAUUGCAACAUGAAUACAUAGUGUUGCAAGGCGAACGAGGGGAAGUGAAACAUCUCAGUACCCUUAGGAAAAGAAAUCAAUUGAGAUUCCCUCAGUAGCGGCGAGCGAACGGGGAUCAGCCCAUUAAGUUAUGUGUGUUUUAGUGGAACGCUCUGGGAAGUGCGAACGUAGAGGGUGAUAUUCCCGUACACGAAAGGGCACACAUAAUGAUGACGAGUAGGGCGAGGCACGUGAAACCUUGUCUGAAUAUGGGGGGACCAUCCUCCAAGGCUAAAUACUCCUGACUGACCGAUAGUGAACCAGUACCGUGAGGGAAAGGCGAAAAGAACCCCUGUGAGGGGAGUGAAAUAGAUCCUGAAACCGCAUGCAUACAAGCAGUGGGAGCACCUUCGUGGUGUGACUGCGUACCUUUUGUAUAAUGGGUCAGCGACUUAUAUUCAGUAGCGAGGUUAACCGUAUAGGGGAGCCGUAGAGAAAUCGAGUCUUAAUAGGGCGUUUAGUUGCUGGGUAUAGACCCGAAACCAGGCGAUCUAUCCAUGAGCAGGUUGAAGGUUGGGUAACACUAACUGGAGGACCGAACCCACUGUCGUUGAAAAGCCAGGGGAUGACUUGUGGAUAGGGGUGAAAGGCUAAUCAAGCCUGGUGAUAGCUGGUUCUCCCCGAAAGCUAUUUAGGUAGCGCCUCGGACGAAUACCAUAGGGGGUAGAGCACUGUUUCGGCUAGGGGGUCAUCCCGACUUACCAAACCGAUGCAAACUCCGAAUACCCAGAAGUGCCGAGCAUGGGAGACACACGGCGGGUGCUAACGUCCGUCGUGAAAAGGGAAACAACCCAGACCGCCAGCUAAGGUCCCAAAGUUGUGGUUAAGUGGUAAACGAUGUGGGAAGGCUUAGACAGCUAGGAGGUUGGCUUAGAAGCAGCCACCCUUUAAAGAAAGCGUAAUAGCUCACUAGUCGAGUCGGCCUGCGCGGAAGAUGUAACGGGGCUAAAACUAUGUGCCGAAGCUGCGGAUGUAUACUUUGUAUACGUGGUAGGGGAGCGUUCUGUAAGCCGAUGAAGGUGUGUUGAGAAGCAUGCUGGAGGUAUCAGAAGUGCGAAUGCUGACGUGAGUAACGACAAAACGGGUGAAAAACCCGUUCGCCGAAAGACCAAGGGUUCCAGUCCAACGUUAAUCGGGGCUGGGUGAGUCGACCCCUAAGGCGAGGCCGAAAGGCGUAGUCGAUGGGAAAAUGGUUAAUAUUCCAUUACUUCUGUGUAAUGCGAUGAGAGGACGGAGAAGGCUAAAUCAGCCUGGCGUUGGUUGUCCAGGUGAAAGGAUGUAGGCAUGUAUCUUAGGCAAAUCCGGGGUACUCUAUGCUGAGAUCUGAUAGCAAGCUGUACUUGUACAGCGAAGUGGUUGAUGCCAUGCUUCCAGGAAAAGUCUCUAAGCUUCAGUUACACAGGAAUCGUACCCGAAACCGACACAGGUGGUCAGGUCGAGUAGACCAAGGCGCUUGAGAGAACUCUGCUGAAGGAACUAGGCAAAAUGGUACCGUAACUUCGGGAGAAGGUACGCUGUUGUUGGUGAUGGAACUCGCUUCCUGAGCUGACGACAGCCGCAGAAACCAGGCCGCUGCAACUGUUUAUUAAAAACAUAGCACUCUGCAAACACGAAAGUGGACGUAUAGGGUGUGAUGCCUGCCCGGUGCUGGAAGGUUAAUUGAUGGGGUUAGCGUAAGCGAAGCUCUUGAUCGAAGCCCCAGUAAACGGCGGCCGUAACUAUAACGGUCCUAAGGUAGCGAAAUUCCUUGUCGGGUAAGUUCCGACCUGCACGAAUGGCAUAAUGAUGGCGGCGCUGUCUCCAGCAGAGGCUCAGUGAAAUCGAAAUCGCUGUGAAGAUGCAGUGUACCCGCGGCUAGACGGAAAGACCCCGUGAACCUUUACUGCAGCUUGACACUGAACUUUGACCUUACUUGUGUAGGAUAGGUGGGAGGCUUUGAAGCUGGAACGCUAGUUCCAGUGGAGCCGUCCUUGAAAUACCACCCUGGUAAUGUUGAGGUUCUAACUCUGUCCCGUGAUCCGGGACGAGGACCGUGUCUGGUGGGUAGUUUGACUGGGGCGGUCUCCUCCUAAAGAGUAACGGAGGAGUACGAAGGUGCGCUCAGCGUGGUCGGAAAUCACGCGUAGAGUAUAAAGGCAAAAGCGCGCUUAACUGCGAGACCCACAAGUCGAGCAGGUACGAAAGUAGGUCUUAGUGAUCCGGUGGUUCUGUAUGGAAGGGCCAUCGCUCAACGGAUAAAAGGUACUCCGGGGAUAACAGGCUGAUACCGCCCAAGAGUUCAUAUCGACGGCGGUGUUUGGCACCUCGAUGUCGGCUCAUCUCAUCCUGGGGCUGAAGCAGGUCCCAAGGGUAUGGCUGUUCGCCAUUUAAAGAGGUACGCGAGCUGGGUUUAGAACGUCGUGAGACAGUUCGGUCCCUAUCUACCGUGGGCGCUGGAAAUUUGAGAGGAUCUGCUCCUAGUACGAGAGGACCAGAGUGGACGAACCUCUGGUGUACCGGUUGUGACGCCAGUCGCAUCGCCGGGUAGCUAUGUUCGGAAGGGAUAACCGCUGAAAGCAUCUAAGCGGGAAGCCUACCUCAAGAUAAGAUUUCCCUAGGACUUUAUGUCCUCUAAAGAGCCGUUCGAGACUAGGACGUUGAUAGGUUGGAUGUGGAAGCAUAGUGAUAUGUGAAGCUGACCAAUACUAAUUGCUCGUGAGGCUUGACUAU